rnacentral:lncRNA from 10 species
CGCGCGGGUGCUCCGGGGCUGCUGCGUGGCCGCCUCCACUCCCCCGGGCCCCUGGCGUCCUCCCUUCUCCAGGCCGGAGCGCAGGGCCGAAGGCCACCGCCCGGGGACCGGCCCCAGGCACAUGGGACCGCGGCGGGCGCCCUGCCAAUCCCCAGGAGGCCCGGCCCCUGGCCCUGAACCUGCACCCGGUGGCCACCCCGCCGCGCAGGCGCUGGCUCGUGAGUCACCUGGCGGGGGCCACGUGUGUGCGGCGUGGGCCCUGCGUCCACAGGUCUGCAACCCCUGCCCCCACCGAGGGCUCAGCCCCGGCCCAGCUGCAAGAGAACAGAAAACCGGCUUCGGGAGCCGGGCGCGGUGGCUCACGCCUGUAAUCCCAGUUACUCAGGAAGCUGAGGCAGUAGAAUCGCUUGAAUCCGGGAGGCAGAGGUUGCAGUGAGCUGAGAUCGCGCCACUGCACUCCAGCCUGGGCGACAGAGCGAGACUCCAUCUCAAAAAAAAAAAAAAAAAAAAGAAAAAGAAAAGAAAAAAAGAACCUGCUUGGGGCCAGACUGAAUGAAAACUGGGAAAAAAGGCGGUUAGGAAGGACUUGCCUCUCCCUUCCCACACACAGAUGCCCGGAAGCUCCUGCUCAGUUCUGGUCUGGCUCUGACCAGACGCCCCAGGCAACCACCCUGGAAGUGGGGCCCCGGGGUGGAUUCUGGGGCUCUUGUUCCCAGGAGAUGCCUGCCUGCAUCUGGGCCCCUGCUUGGAUUCCACUUCCCUGCGAAGAACAAGGAGGCGCUGGUGUGUUCCUGGCCCAGGUGCACCUGCUGGGCAAAAUGAAAUUUAAGUCCCCAAGGCUGCUUUAGGGCUGGGCCACAGGGAUGAAGACCUGCAGCUCCAGCUUGGUCACUGCUGUCCGGCCUCCCCCACCCUCCAGGGCGAAGGGUGAGGAGCACCGGAAAAACAACUCGUGGUCCCUGGAACCCCUCAAGCACCAGAAUGUGUCCAGCCCUGCCUCUGCGCAUCCAGCGAUGCCCUGGCUGUGUCGGAAGCGCAAGACGCACACUUAGGAUUUUCAGCUUGGCUGUGGGUUUAUUGGGCCGUAACCCCAACGUAGGCAGGUAGCCAACUGGAGGAGACUGUUUUCUAGACCCUUAGGUGGCCUCUGACCCCAGAAGUCAUCAGCGGAAGAUUUGGGCUGGGGAGUGAGCAGCUAACCAGAGGCGGUACCCCUGCCCGGAAGUGUGUCCUGGACCUUGGUUUGGUUGGGUCCCUCAGGUGUUGCCCACACAGACCGUAACUACCUGGCAAUCGAGAAGGGUGCCAGAUGGACACUGGGGGUGAAAACACAGCCACGCCUGGUGGGGAAGCGGGUGGAGGUGCUCAGGAGGCAACCAGGAGAGUGCAGUGCAGCACUGCCCGCACCAAGCCUGGGCUGGGGCUCAACAGGAAGCGUGGAGAUGGCGCAAAUGCACCGCAGGGACUCAGAGGGAUCACGCUGGGCUUAAAAGGCCCAGAGCAAACAGACUCAACCGUUAGGAAGCAGGGGAAGUGGCCCGAUCUUAACGGAAAUUUCCCAGCAAGAGGACAGGCUUCCUUGUCCGGGGCCAUCCAGGCUCACACCUGACUGAGUCCCGCAGACUUGGCUGUGCCCACAGCGCCUGUCUCACUCAGUGUAAACCGAGAUGAGUUGCAUCCAUCGGCUCCCGAUUACCAAGAAUCAAGAGGCGAUGGAUGGAAACCUUGGGGGAAGCAGGGCCUGGAGGGCCAGUGUCCCCUGAGUCUGUGAGACACUCCAGGAAGGAGGGGGGCGGGCCUGGGCUGCAACCUGUCCCUCCGAAGGCCACCUGCAAGACAGGGCUGAAACUGGCUGCUGGCAGAGACCCCCCAACCCACAGAACACUGGCUCCCUGCUGAAGGAAGAACUGCUCCAAAGCAGAAAGAGCAGGGCCCAGCGGGUAAGGAGCAGGAACUGAAGAGCUUUACAAAGAACAAAAAAGGCUGGGCAGGGCAGCUCUCACCUGUAAUCCCAGCACUUUGGGAGGCCAAGGUAGGAGGAUCUCUUGAGGCCAGGCGUUUCAGACCAGCCUGCGCAACACAGUGAGACCACAUCUCUAAAAAAAAUCAAAAGAUUAGCCAGGCAUGAUGGCACGUGCCUAUAGUCCCAGCUACCUGGGAGGAUGAGGUAGGACGAUUGCUUGUGCACAGGAGGCUGAGGCUGCAGUGAGCCUUGAUCAGGCCACUGCACUCCAGCUCGGGUGACAGAGUGAGAUCGUGUCUAUAUUAAAAAAUAAAAAUAGGCCAGGUGUGGUGGCUCACACCUGUAAUCCCAGCACUUUGGGAGGCCGAGGUGGGUGAUCACCUGGGGUUAGGAAUUCGAGACCAUCCUGGCCAACGUGGUGAAACGCUGCCUCUACUAAAAAUACAAAAAUUAGCUGGGUGUUGUGGCGGGCGCCUGUAAUCCCAGCUACUAGGGAGGCUAAGGCAGGAGAAUCGCUUGAACCUGGGAGGUGGAGGUUGCAGUGAGCCAAGAUCGUGCCAUUGCACUCCAGCCUGGGUGACAAGAGCAAAACUCACUCAAAAAAAAUUAAAAUUAAAAAAGAUAAAAAUAAGGUUCAAGACCAGCCUGGCCAACAGGGUGAAACCCUAUCUCUACUAAUAAAAAUACAAAAUUAGCUGGGCGUGGUGGUGCAUGCCUGUAAUUCCAGCUUCUUGGGAAGGUGAGGCAGGACAAUUGCUUGAACCCGGCAGGUGGAGGCUGCAGUGAGCCAAGACUGCACCACCAGCCCAGGUGACAAACUGACACCGUUUCAUAAAAAUAAAUACAUAAAUAAGUAAAUAAAACAUUAAAAAAAAUAGAACAAAAGUGCAAGGAGCUGUAGGGGACUGAAGUUUGUGAACUCCGUGAGCUAGAGAUGCUGGGAGAGCAGUCAGAAGGCGAGGAAUCCUGAAAACAGGAAAUGCAUCCAGGGCCAGAGGCUUUUUCAAAUGAUGAAUCUAGAACUGCAGGUCGGGGACUCACAAGGAUCCCUGAUGGAUUCUCAAACGGAUCAUAAGUUAUGUCGGUAGGCCCAAGGGGGUGGUUGGGGCAGACUGAGCAAGCUCACGGGACAGGGCUCCCCGUCCAGCCUCCGACUGCGGCCUGGCAUCCACCGCAGUGUCCUGCUGCUUGGCAUCCACAGGUUAUUUUGGGGGUCCCCCGGCAGGGAGGAAAGGGCCUCUCGGUGGCUCCUGCGAGUGGCCUGGCAGACGCCUGAGCCAGGGUAGACAGCGAGGAGUCGCGGGCAGAGAUUUUGCUGGUCUAUCUGGCCUGGGUGCAGCCUGGAUGAAGACAGCAUGUCUGUCUGACCUCAAGCAGGGCUCGUCCCUGAGCUCAGAUGUUCGCUGCCUUCCAGAGGGGAAAGGCAGUUGGGGUCAGCAGGGCACCAGGCAGAAUGCACCCAGCUCCAGGUGGCAGUGUCACCUCCUGAGGGAAGACCAUUAACCCCUCAAAAUGGAUACCAUGGCCAAUGGGGACUUCCAGGCAUGUUUCCCGAAGCAGGUGCGGAACAUGGCCUGUCUCUGGCCUCAUUGUGGGCCCACAGCCUGGGGGCUGGCCUUGGUCACGGGCCAGCUGAGACAGAAAUUCGCUGAUUCUCUCCCAGGCUUGGCUGAAAACAGGCGUGCCCAAGAAAAGGCGGCCACGGGUCCUCAAAGCAAGGCCCUGGCCGUUCCAGCCAGGCCAUGGGGCCACACCCCCUGUACUCAGCAGUGGCACCAAGGGGUCUGCAGCCCGAGAGUGGCUGCCAAGGGCUGCCCAGCACUGGGCCACACCUCACCAAGUGCACAGUGACCAGUGCUCCAAGCUGACCACGGCACUCCCGGUCCCCAUGUCCACAAGCCCCUCCUGCCGCUUUGCCCAGGUCCCAGGAUACCCCACUUAAGGGCCCCAGAGGAACAGCUGACACCCCAACCCUGCAGAUGGCAGGUGCAUCCCACACCCCUCCCCAAUCCCCCUGCGCAGCCCCGUGGCCGGGUUUAGGUUCAGGGGUACUUGCAGCCUAAGCUAGGGGUGGCAUCGCCGGCUCCAAGGCUGCCUCGGUUUCUCAGGCGAGUGCUGAACUUCCUGUUGCCUUAAAGAGGGCCAACACUGAAAACAGGGAGGGUUCCCGCUGCCCAGGUCCUCCACACCACUGCCGUCCACCAGGCCCACUGUGGGGUCUCAGGACAGGGCCCUGCACACCGGGGACCUGAUGAAUGUCUGUAGACUCUCAGAUGUCUGCUGAGGAGGCAGGGAACAAGCCUCCCAUCCCGUACCAGCCUCGAUCCCCGCACUGGCCCCGCAGCUCGGCCUGAGCACCGCACUCCACACGCUGCCCGGAUCCCCGCACUGGCCCGGCAGCCCGGCCUGAGCACGGCACUCCACACACUGAGCUGCACAGUGUAUUUUUCUCAGCAGCCACCAGAGGCACAUUCACCGGUGGCGCGUCCUGGUGGGCCUCCGGGUGCCGUCACCA